rnacentral:misc_RNA from 1 species
AGCAGCCGCGGUAAUUCCAGCUCCAAUAGCGUAUAUUAAAGUUGUUGCAGUUAAAAAGCUCGUAGUUGAAUUUCGGGAUUGACACAUCGGUCGUGCCUUAAGGGGUAUGAACUGGUGUAGUCAAUUUCUCACCUUCUGGAGAACCGCGAUGCCCUUAAUUGGGUGUCGCGGGGAACCAGGACCUUUACUUUGAAAAAUUAGAGUGUUUAAAGCAGGCAUUUUGCUUGAAUACAUUAGCAUGGAAUAAUAAAAUAGGACGGCAUGAUUCUAUUUUGUUGGUUUCUAGGAUCACCGUAAUGAUUAAUAGGGAUAGUUGGGGGCAUUAGUAUUCAAUUGUCAGAGGUGAAAUUCUUGGAUUUAUUGAAGACUAACUACUGCGAAAAGCAUUUGCCAAGGAUGUUUUCAUUAAUCAAGAACGAAAGUUAGAGGAUCGAAGACGAUCAGAUACCGUCGUAGUCUUAACCAUAAACUAUGCCGACUAGGAAUCAGACGAUGUUAAUUUUUAAUGACUCGUUUGGCU